rnacentral:lncRNA from 1 species
UUACUACAUUAUGUAAUGGAAGGGAAGCUGUGGAUAGCUUCUUGGGGGUUUAAGGGAAGCUGAGUCUACAAGGAAGCACUUUGGAAAAAGAGGGUUUUCUGAGUGUUAGAGGUGAGAAUUGUAUGAUGAAUGGAGGAGAAAAGAUAGUGAAAUCUGAGUAAUUGAGCAGAAGGCCUGGGGGAUGAGAGGACUGAAGAAAUAAACCUUCAGGCCAAGGUGCCUUGUAAAUAGGACAGGUGCAGCGUUCAAAAGCGAAGGGACCUAAAAAAGGUGGGUCCUUGGAAAGUGGGAGAGAAGAUGACUAUAAAGAUCCCAGGAAGGAAGGUGUUUUAAGGUCAGAUUGUAUAGGGGAGAGGCUGUCCCUGAGCUGCUAUUGGGAGGAGGAUGGAACUGGAAGAGGAAAUUAACUAGUCCAAGAGAUUCUCAGCCUAGCACAGCAUAGUCAGUUGCUGCAAAGUCAGUUGGAGCUGUGAAAAGGAUCAGGCUGAGGGAGCCCAGAUAAUGUGUUGCAACAGUGGAGAAGCA